AUACGUAGGGUGCAAGCGUUAAUCGGAAUUACUGGGCGUAAAGCGUGCGCAGGCGGUUUUGUAAGACAGAGGUGAAAUCCCCGGGCUCAACCUGGGAACCGCCUUUGUGACUGCAAGGCUAGAGUACGGCAGAGGGGGAUGGAAUUCCGCGUGUAGCAGUGAAAUGCGUAGAUAUGCGGAGGAACACCGAUGGCGAAGGCAAUCCCCUGGGCCUGUACUGACGCUCAUGCACGAAAGCGUGGGGAGCAAACAGGAUUAGAUACCCUGGUAGUCCACGCCCUAAAAGAUGUCAACUGGGUUUUGGGUCUUCAGUGACUCAGUAACGAAGCUAACGCGUGAAGUUGACCGCCUGGGGAGUACGGCCGCAAGGUUGAAACUCAAAUGAAUUGACGGGG
rnacentral:rRNA from 1 species